UCUCCGCCGUCCGAUUUCUACCUCCACCGAUCCCCUCAUUAUCGAGACUUCCGUUCCUUUCACUCCUCACAAAUGCGAGCCUCCUUCUCGCUCCGUGGAGACAACUCCUAAAGAGCUUCUCUCCUUCUUUCGCGACAUGGCUACGAUGCGCCGGAUGGAGAUCGCUGCUGAUUCUCUUUACAAGGCUAAGCUUAUCCGUGGAUUUUGCCACCUCUACGACGGGCAGGAAGCGGUGGCCGUUGGGAUGGAAGCUGCUAUUACUAAAAGGGAUUGUAUUAUAACGGCGUAUCGGGAUCACUGUACGUUUUUGGGUCGUGGUGGGACGCUUCUUCAGGUGUUCUCGGAGCUCAUGGGACGCCAGGCGGGGUGUUCGAAAGGGAAGGGUGGGUCAAUGCAUUUCUAUAAGAAGGAAGCCGGGUUUUAUGGAGGACACGGGAUUGUGGGAGCUCAGGUGCCACUAGGAUGUGGAUUGGCUUUCGCGCAGAAGUAUUCUAAAGACGAAACGGUGACGUUUGCUCUGUAUGGAGAUGGUGCGGCCAAUCAGGGACAGUUGUUUGAGGCGCUUAAUAUUUCUGCUCUUUGGGAUCUUCCUGCUAUUUUGGUCUGCGAGAACAAUCACUGUAAGGACUGGAAUGUUUAUCCCUUUUUUCAAUUUUUUGAGGUUUUAAUGUUUAAUCGAUUUCAAUUGGAUGCUGUAUGGUUAGAUGGUAUGGGGACUGCAGAGUGGAGAGCCGCCAAGAGUCCCGCUUACUACAAGCGAGGAGAUUACGUCCCUGGCUUGAAGGUUAGAUUGAACUUGAACUCCUUUUUGGAUUAAAUUGAAAUAUGUUUUUCUUUUUGUCUCUAUAAAAAUAACCAACUGCUUGAUUAUUCAAAUACUUCAUGAUUAGCUAAAGUUGCAAUUAGCAAGCUCGCCAACCAGCCUUGAGGGUUACUUUUGAACAACAACAACAUAUGCAUGUCUUGUAAAUCUUACAUGUAAUGAUGAUGUUAAGUGGGUUUUUAAAGUCAAUAUCGGUUUUGGAAAGUGCCUACCUGCUUGAUUGAAGUUUGUUCAUUGCCUCGGCAACUUAUAAGAAUAACCUUGCUCGGUCAAUUUUAUACAGUAGUCGCAGAACUAUGCAAGCAAAGUUUUUCUCAUUUAGGCCAUGAAGAUUUUGGAAGAUUAUUUGCCACAAACUGUUCUGGGUCAUUUGCAAAGAUAGAGAUGACAUAAUUUUAAAGCAGGGAUUAUGACUUAUACUAAUUAAAAGGCAAGAAAUUUUGUUGCUUUGAUUGUUGCUCUGCAUGAAGUAACCUCCUCAUGAUGAACUUCUCAUCUAUGGCACCUUAGUGCAGAAACAGGUUUCCUUGUGCUAGCGUCUAUCUUCCAAUCUUUAUGCAAUAUCAAAUUUGGUCCUAAAGUGGUAGGUAGCAGUAGCAUCUGCUCUGUUUUCAAAGUUGAUUUGUUUUUACAACUAAAAUCUGUUUUAAGGAGUUGUUUCUAGUGAGAUAUCUAGGUACUUUUCUCACAUCUUAUAUAAGCUGUUCAUUCAAUAUGUAUUUGACCUUGAUCAAAGUUUACGGAAAUCAGAGGCCAGUAGUUGAACCGUCUGCUAUGUUUGUUGUAAAUUGCUCCACCGAUCCCCUCAUUAUCGAGACUUCCGUUCCUUUCACUCCUCACAAAUGCGAGCCUCCUUCUCGCUCCGUGGAGACAACUCCUAAAGAGCUUCUCUCCUUCUUUCGCGACAUGGCUACGAUGCGCCGGAUGGAGAUCGCUGCUGAUUCUCUUUACAAGGCUAAGCUUAUCCGUGGAUUUUGCCACCUCUACGACGGGCAGGAAGCGGUGGCCGUUGGGAUGGAAGCUGCUAUUACUAAAAGGGAUUGUAUUAUAACGGCGUAUCGGGAUCACUGUACGUUUUUGGGUCGUGGUGGGACGCUUCUUCAGGUGUUCUCGGAGCUCAUGGGACGCCAGGCGGGGUGUUCGAAAGGGAAGGGUGGGUCAAUGCAUUUCUAUAAGAAGGAAGCCGGGUUUUAUGGAGGACACGGG
rnacentral:lncRNA from 1 species